rnacentral:rRNA from 1 species
UGAACGCUGGCGGUAUGCUUAACACAUGCAAGUCGAACGGAAACGAUACUAGCUUGCUAGUAGGCGUCGAGUGGCGGACGGGUGAGUAACGCGUAGGAAUCUGCCUGAUAGUGGGGGAUAGCCCGAAGAAAUUCGGAUUAAUACCGCAUAAUCUAUUCGUAGUAAAGUGGGGGACUUUCGAGCCUCACGCUAUCAGAUGAGCCUGCGUAAGAUUAGCUUGUUGGUAGGGUAAAAGCCUACCAAGGCGACGAUCUUUAGCUGGUCUGAGAGGAUGAUCAGCCACAUCGGGACUGAGACACGGCCCGAACUCCUACGGGAGGCAGCAGUGGGGAAUAUUGGACAAUGGGGGCAACCCUGAUCCAGCAAUACCGCGUGUGUGAAGAAGGCCUGAGGGUUGUAAAGCACUUUCAAUUGUGAAGAAAAGUUAGCGGUUAAUAACCGUUAGCCUUGACGUUAACUUUAGAAGAAGCACCGGCUAACUCCGUGCCAGCAGCCGCGGUAAUACGGAGGGUGCAAGCGUUAAUCGGAAUUACUGGGCGUAAAGCGUGCGUAGGCGGUUUAUUAAGUCAGAUGUGAAAGCCCCGGGCUUAACCUGGGAACUGCAUUUGAAACUGGUCAACUAGAGUAUGGUAGAGGAAAGUGGAAUUUCUGGUGUAGCGGUGAAAUGCGUAGAUAUCAGAAGGAACAUCAAUGGCGAAGGCAGCUUUCUGGACCAAUACUGACGCUGAGGUACGAAAGCGUGGGUAGCAAACAGGAUUAGAUACCCUGGUAGUCCACGCCGUAAACGAUGAUAACUAGCCGUUGGGGGGAUUUACCCUUUAGUGGCGAAGCUAACGCGUUAAGUUAUCCGCCUGGGGAGUACGGCCGCAAGGUUAAAACUCAAAGGAAUUGACGGGGACCCGCACAAGCGGUGGAGCAUGUGGUUUAAUUCGAUGCAACGCGAAGAACCUUACCUGGUCUUGACAUCCUGCGAACUUUCUAGAAAUAGAUUGGUGCCUUCGGGAACGCAGUGACAGGUGCUGCAUGGCUGUCGUCAGCUCGUGUCGUGAGAUGUUGGGUUAAGUCCCGUAACGAGCGCAACCCCUAUCCUUAUUUGCCAGCACAUCAUGGUGGGAACUAUAAGGAGACUGCCGGUGAUAAACCGGAGGAAGGCGGGGACGACGUCAAGUCAUCAUGGCCCUUACGACCAGGGCUACACACGUGCUACAAUGGGAAGGACAAAGAGCCGCGAAGCCGCGAGGUGUAGCUAAUCUCAUAAACCUUUUCGUAGUCCGGAUUGGAGUCUGCAACUCGACUCCAUGAAGUCGGAAUCGCUAGUAAUCGUAGAUCAGAAUGCUACGGUGAAUACGUUCCCGGGUCUUGUACUCACCG